rnacentral:rRNA from 1 species
CUACGGGAGGCAGCGGUCGAGAAUCUUCGGCAAUGGGCGAAAGCCUGACCGAGCGACGCCGCGUGCGGGAUGAAGGCCUUCGGGUUGUAAACCGCUGUUGUCGGGGAUGAAAUCUUUGGGGGUUCUCCCCCUUAGUUGACAGAUCCGAUGAGGAAGUCCGGGCUAAGUUCGUGCCAGCAGCCGCGGUAAUACGAACCGGACGAACGUUAUUCGGAAUCACUGGGCUUAAAGAGUGCGUAGGCGGCUUAUCAAGUUGGGUGUGAAAUCCCUCGGCUCAACCGAGGAACUGCGCCCAAAACUGAUAGGCUUGAGGGAGGCAGGGGUAAGCGGAACUGAUGGUGGAGCGGUGAAAUGCGUUGAUAUCAUCAGGAACACCAGUGGCGAAGGCGGCUUACUGGGCCUCUUCUGACGCUGAGGAGCGAAAGCGUGGGGAGCAAACAGGAUUAGAUACCCCAGUAGUCC